rnacentral:rRNA from 1 species
CCUACGGGGGGCUGCAGUGGGGAAUAUUGCGCAAUGGGCGAAAGCCUGACGCAGCGACGCCGCGUGAGGGAUGAAGGUCUUCGGAUCGUAAACCUCUGUCAGCAGGGAAGAACGGUCACUGUGCUAAUCAGCAGUGAAUUGACGGUACCUGCAAAGGAAGCACCGGCUAACUCCGUGCCAGCAGCCGCGGUAAUACGGAGGGUGCGAGCGUUAAUCGGAAUUACUGGGCGUAAAGCGCUCGUAGGCGGUAUGUCAAGUCAAGGGUGAAAUCCCCGCGCUCAACGUGGGAACUGCCUUUGAAACUGGCAAACUGGAGUGUGGUAGAGGAGAGUGGAAUUCCAGGUGUAGGGGUGAAAUGCGUAGAUAUCUGGAGGAACAUCAGUGGCGAAGGCGACUAUCUGGCACAUAACUGACGCUGAGGAGCGAAAGCGUGGGUAGCAAACAGGAUUAGAUACCCGGGUAGUC